UACGGAGGGAGCUAGCGUUGUUCGGAAUUACUGGGCGUAAAGCGCACGUAGGCGGCUUUUUAAGUCAGGGGUGAAAUCCCGGGGCUCAACCCCGGAACUGCCCUUGAAACUGGGAAGCUAGAAUCUUGGAGAGGCGAGUGGAAUUCCGAGUGUAGAGGUGAAAUUCGUAGAUAUUCGGAAGAACACCAGUGGCGAAGGCGACUCGCUGGACAAGUAUUGACGCUGAGGUGCGAAAGCGUGGGGAGCAAACAGG
rnacentral:rRNA from 4 species